CGAGUAUUCCCUCCGUCCGAAAAAGCUUGUCCUGAGUUUGUCCCUCAAAUGGAUGUAUCUAGCACUAACGUGGUGCUAGAUACAUCCAUUUGAGGGACAAGCUUUUUCGGACGGAGGGAGUAGUUG
rfam:Triticum aestivum genome assembly, contig: Triticum_aestivum_CS42_TGACv1_scaffold_320489_4BL